rnacentral:rRNA from 1 species
UACGUAGGGUCCGAGCGUUGUCCGGAAUUACUGGGCGUAAAGAGCUCGUAGGUGGUUUGUCGCGUUGUUCGUGAAAACUCACAGCUCAACUGUGGGCGUGCGGGCGAUACGGGCAGACUUGAGUACUGCAGGGGAGACUGGAAUUCCUGGUGUAGCGGUGGAAUGCGUAGAUAUCGAGAGGAACACCUGCGGCGAAGGCGGGUUGCUGGGCUGACACUGACGCUGAGGCGCGAAAGCUAGGGGAGCGAACGGG